rnacentral:rRNA from 1 species
UACAGAGGUCCCAAGCGUUGUUCGGAUUCAUUGGGCGUAAAGGUGCGUAGGCGGGUCUUUAAGUCAGGGUGAAAUCCUGGAGCUCAACUCCAGAACUGCCUUUGAUACUGAAGAUCUUGAGUUCGGGAGAGGUGAGUGGAACUGCGAGUGUAGAGGUGAAAUUCGUAGAUAUUCGCAAGAACACCAGUGGCGAAGGCGGCUCACUGGCCCGAUACUGACGCUGAGGCACGAAAGCGUGGGAGCAAACAGG